CGUAACUAUAACGGUCCUAAGGUAGCGAAAUUCCUUGUCGGGUAAGUUCCGACCUGCACGAAUGGCGUAAUGAUGGCCAGGCUGUCUCCACCCGAGACUCAGUGAAAUUGAACUCGCUGUGAAGAUGCAGUGUACCCGCGGCAAGACGGAAAGACCCCGUGAACCUUUACUAUAGCUUGACACUGAACAUUGAGCCUUGAUGUGUAGGAUAGGUGGGAGGCUUUGAAGUGUGGACGCCAGUCUGCAUGGAGCCGACCUUGAAAUACCACCCUUUAAUGUUUGAUGUUCUAACGUGGACCCGUAAUCCGGGUUGCGGACAGUGUCUGGUGGGUAGUUUGACUGGGGCGGUCUCCUCCUAAAGAGUAACGGAGGAGCACGAAGGUUGGCUAAUCCUGGUCGGACAUCAGGAGGUUAGUGCAAUGGCAUAAGCCAGCUUGACUGCGAGCGUGACGGCGCGAGCAGGUGCGAAAGCAGGUCAUAGUGAUCCGGUGGUUCUGAAUGGAAGGGCCAUCGCUCAACGGAUAAAAGGUACUCCGGGGAUAACAGGCUGAUACCGCCCAAGAGUUCAUAUCGACGGCGGUGUUUGGCACCUCGAUGUCGGCUCAUCACAUCCUGGGGCUGAAGUAGGUCCCAAGGGUAUGGCUGUUCGCCAUUUAAAGUGGUACGCGAGCUGGGUUUAGAACGUCGUGAGACAGUUCGGUCCCUAUCUGCCGUGGGCGCUGGAGAACUGAGGGGGGCUGCUCCUAGUACGAGAGGACCGGAGUGGACGCAUCACUGGUGUUCGGGUUGUCAUGCCAAUGGCACUGCCCGGUAGCUAAAUGCGGAAGAGAUAAGUGCUGAAAGCAUCUAAGCACGAAACUUGCCCCGAGAUGAGUUCUCCCUGACUCCUUGAGAGUCCUGAAGGAACGUUGAAGACGACGACGUUGAUAGGCCGGGUGUGUAAGCGCAGCGAUGCGUUGAGCUAACCGGUACUAAUGAACCGUGAGGCUUAACCU
rnacentral:rRNA from 1 species